GUCCACGCCCUAAACGAUGAUCACUGGGUGUUGGGGAAGCGAUUCCUUGGUACCGUAGCUAACGCGUGAAGUGAUCCGCCUGGGGAGUAUGGUCGCAAGAUUAAAACUCAAAGGAAUUGACGGGGACCCGCACAAGCGGUGGAUGAUGUGGAUUAAUUCGAUGCAACGCGAACAACCUUACCUACCCUUGACAUGUCCGGAACCCUGCUGAGAGGUGGGGGUGCCCGAAAGGGAAUCGGAACACAGGUGCUGCAUGGCUGUCGU
rnacentral:rRNA from 1 species